GAAGAACGCUGGCGGCGUGCUUAACACAUGCAAGUCGAACGGAAAGGCCCUGCUUUUGUGGGGUGCUCGAGUGGCGAACGGGUGAGUAACACGUGAGUAACCUGCCCUUGACUUUGGGAUAACUUCAGGAAACUGGGGCUAAUACCGGAUAGGAGCUCCUGCUGCAUGGUGGGGGUUGGAAAGUUUCGGCGGUUGGGGAUGGACUCGCGGCUUAUCAGCUUGUUGGUGGGGUAGUGGCUUACCAAGGCUUUGACGGGUAGCCGGCCUGAGAGGGUGACCGGCCACAUUGGGACUGAGAUACGGCCCAGACUCCUACGGGAGGCAGCAGUGGGGAAUAUUGCAAAAUGGGCGGAAGCCUGAUGCAGCAACGCCGCGUGCGGGAUGACGGCCUUCGGGUUGUAAACCGCUUUCGCCUGUGACGAAGCGUGAGUGACGGUAAUGGGUAAAGAAGCACCGGCUAACUACGUG
rnacentral:rRNA from 1 species